GAUGAACGCUGGCGGCGUGCCUAAUACAUGCAAGUCGAGCGAACAGACGAGGAGCUUGCUCCUCUGACGUUAGCGGCGGACGGGUGAGUAACACGUGGAUAACCUACCUAUAAGACUGGGAUAACUUCGGGAAACCGGAGCUAAUACCGGAUAAUAUAUUGAACCGCAUGGUUCAAUAGUGAAAGACGGUUUUGCUGUCACUUAUAGAUGGAUCCGCGCCGCAUUAGCUAGUUGGUAAGGUAACGGCUUACCAAGGCGACGAUGCGUAGCCGGCCUGAGAGGGUGAUCGGCCACACUGGAACUGAGACACGGUCCAGACUCCUACGGGAGGCAGCAGUAGGGAAUCUUCCGCAAUGGGCGAAAGCUUGACGGAGCAACGCCGCGUGAGUGAUGAAGGUCUUCGGAUCGUAAAACUCUGUUAUUAGGGAAGAACAAAUGUGUAAGUAACUAUGCACGUCUUGACGGUACCUAAUCAGAAAGCCACGGCUAACUACGUG
rnacentral:rRNA from 1 species